rnacentral:rRNA from 1 species
UACGAAGGAUGCAAGCGUUAUCCGGAUUUAUUGGGUUUAAAGGGAGCGUAGGCGGUCUUAUAAGUCAGUGGUGAAAUCUUGUCGCUUAACGACAAACGUGCCAUUGAUACUGUAGGACUUGAGUACAGAUGCCGUUGGCGGAAUGUGUCAUGUAGCGGUGAAAUGCAUAGAUAUGACACAGAACACCGAUUGCGAAGGCAGCUGACGAAACUGUAACUGACGCU